AUUGAACGCUGGCGGCAUGCCUUACACAUGCAAGUCGAACGGCAGCACGGGAGCAAUCCUGGUGGCGAGUGGCGAACGGGUGAGUAAUAUAUCGGAACGUGCCCAGUCGAGGGGGAUAACGCAGCGAAAGCUGUGCUAAUACCGCAUACGAUCUAAGGAUGAAAGCGGGGGAUCGCAAGACCUCGCGCGAUUGGAGCGGCCGAUAUCAGAUUAGCUAGUUGGUGGGGUAACGGCCCACCAAGGCGACGAUCUGUAGCUGGUCUGAGGGGACGACCAGCCACACUGGAACUGAGACACGGUCCAGAAUCCUACGGGAGGAAGCAGUGGGGAAUUUUGGACAAUGGGCGCAAGCCUGAUCCAGCAAUGCCGCGUGCAGGAUGAAGGCCUUCGGGUUGUAAACUGCUUUUGUACGGAACGAAACGGCCCUUUCUAAUACAGGGGGCUAAUGACGGUACCGUAAGAAUAAGCACCGGCUAACUACGUGCCAGCCGCCGCCGUAAUAC
rnacentral:rRNA from 1 species